GUUUCCGUAGCGUAGUGGUUAUCACGUUCGCCUCACACGCGAAAGGUCCCCAGUUCGAAACUGGGCGGGAACA